GAUAAACGCUGGCGGCGUGCCUUACGCAUGCAAGUCGAACGAGUACUUCGGUACUAGUGGCGGACGGGUGAGUAACACGUAUGUGAUCUGUCCCGAACUGGGGGAUAACCGCCCGAAAGGGUGGCUAAUACCGCAUGUGGUCUUUGGGUUGCGGCCCAGAGAGUAAAGCUCCGGCGGUUCGGGGGGAGCGUGCGGCCGAUUAGCUAGUUGGUGGGGUAACAGCCUACCAAGGCGACGAUCGGUAGCUGGUCUGAGAGGACGAUCAGCCACACGGGGACUGAGACACGGCCCCGACUCCUACGGGAGGCAGCAGCGAGGAAUCUUGGUCAAUGGGCGCAAGCCUGAACCAGCGACGCCGCGUGGAGGAUGAAGGCCCUCGGGUUGUAAACUCCUUUUGGGUGGGAAGAAGCUCUGACGGUACCACCCGAAUAAGCCCCGGCUAACUACGUGCCAGCCGCCGCCGUAAAAC
rnacentral:rRNA from 1 species